AAUUAGGACUGCAGUCGUUUCCAAAGGAAGCGGCGGGAGGCAGGGAAGCAGGCUGGCUUUCCACAGUUUAAGUGGAUGGGAUGCACACAGCACAUUCAGACCCCACUGUGGGCGGCCAGGCUGAGCGCCCUGUCCUCGAGCGCCCUGGGCUCCUCGCUGCGGUCUGCAAGCUCCCACCUCCGUGGACCAGUUAACCGGGAUUGCUCGGUCCCCUCUGUAUCCUGGUGCUGAAAUGAUGCCCAGACAGCUGAGCGGGCCUGUGGGCUCCUGCACCCACCUGAUGGUGCCUCUGCCCCACGCGAAGCACAUUUUUAAGGAGUGUCUGCUGAUCGGGAUGGGAGGAGGCUCAGGGCUGAUGGUGGUCACAGAGGCGGGCUGGCAGCUCCCACGCUCCACUCGGCCCAACGCCCAGCUUGGGAGGCAGCUGGGAUGAGCUGACGCAGAGAAAGCGACUUUCAAAAUGGGCCCUGCAGGGGUGAGGGUGCUCUCGGCAAGAACAUCACCCAGGCUCCCCACCCCCAAGCUGGCUUUGAUCUGUGGUUCUGGGUCAAUAAAUGAGCACCAUCCUGCUUCAUCAGGGUAAUGAGCAUGGCCCGGACCGCCGACACAUCCCCAAACAUUGAGCUUUGUUUUGACCACUAGCCUUGACCUUGGCACUCUGACCUCCCUCCCACAUUUUCCAUCAAACCAUAAGGUCACCCAUUCCCUCCAUGAGGGCUUUUGAAGACAUGAGACAUCUUGACUUCUAUUUCCCCGACACCCGUCUCUCUGCCAGACCCAGAGGGCUCGCAGGAGGCUGUACUGUCCACAACCCGGCCUUCCGCGUCGCUGCCGAACAUCCGAAGAAGGACAGAAAGGCGAUGCACGUCUGUCUCUCGCCCCAGCCAGCUGGAGGUGCUCUGUGAUGACAGUCCUGGCAGACUAAUUCAUCAGUUACCAACGUGAAGUGAACUGGUUUGCAAAACACCUGAAAAUUCAACAACUGGCUCUUUAAGGACCGGGGACAAGGAAACCUCAUCCUGCUUACUACCGCACUGCAGGUGCAAGUCCCCGGCCUGCCCUUCUCUCCUCUCCUGAGCCCAGCUCUUGUGGAUGAAGAUCUAAAGAGAAAUCUGGAUGCAGAUUCACCCUUCAUCCUUCAAGCCCCCCAGUCAGGGGUAGACCGGCUUUAGCACUUUCACCAGAAGCCCGUCUCCCCAGCAUUACUGACCCCAGCUGCUGUCCAUCUGUCUUUUGCGCUUCCGGGGUUACUUUUCAGUGUAACCAACGAGUUCAGCACUUUGGGACUCAAACAUCUGACGGAGGUGCCAGUUGAGGCUCUGCCAGCCGUGCUCCCGCCACGCACCGCACCGUACCGUCCCGGCGUCGGUUUAACCAGCCACCUGCCCGCAGGAGGACAUCAGGCCCCUGGGAAACACGAGCCGGGUUGUCACCUUCGUGUCCCCAGGACUCUGCCAUGGCACGCAGGGCCAGGUGUCCGGUGAGAGUCCCAGCACACCCGCACGCUGGCGGAGCUACAGAGGUCACGGGUGCGGGCUCAAAGGCGACACGAGGCGGCUUUUACGUGAAGCAGCACUGCUGCACGGGCAUCGCGUGGCCACCCACGUGACUCUUCUCCGCAAGGGCCGCUACUCAUCUGAAAGGGAGCGAUCUCACCAUUUGUUCAGAAACGGUGCACUUCAGAGGGACAUGCUGGGCUGUUUCCAGAACUUGUUUAAACAGACGCGAGAUGGUCGUUAGGGUCCCUGUACUGUGAAUAACCUCAGUGUCCGUCCUGGCCACCCAGCCUAUGCGUGAUGAGGACGAAGAGUGGGAGAACACACUCUGUGUGGGUGGGUGUGUGCGUGUGCUCGUGUACGCGUGUGUGUGUGCACACUCACCUCUGUGGACACGUGCGUGUUUUAUGUACAGCUAGGAAGGACCAGAACAUGCUACCAGGGCAAACCUGGGGGACCUGGGUGUCCUCUUGGCGCGCACCGGAACCCUGCCUCUGCCCCUGCUAGCAGAGGGCAUAACUCACACACCAUCUGAGAGUGGGGAUCGCUCCUGCCAAAGCAGAAUGUUAGGAUGGACAUCGCAGGCACGGGAGGACCCGGGGGUGCUGGACUCAGCCGCGAGCCCCAUUCAAAAUACUUCAGGAAAGUCUCUGACUCCAUUUAAAGGGGGACGAUAUGGGCUUCCUUGGGGGCUCAGUGGUAAAGAACUCGCGUACAGUGCCAGAGCCACGGGAGAUGCGGGUUCGAUUCCUGGGCUCUGGAGGAGGGCAUGGCAACCCACUCCAGUAUUCUUGCCUGGAGAAUCCCCAUGGACAGAGGAGCCUGGCAGGCUACCACCCACAGAGUCGAAAAGAAUCAGAUACGACUGAAGCAACUGGGCACACAGGCACAUUAUGCCUUUGGAUCACACUUUACAGAAAGGUGGAUGAACAUGAUGGAGGGUGUGCCCAGGUGUGCCCUGCACCCCCUCCGCCACAGCCACCUAAACCCCCAUCUCUCUCCCCAAGAGCCAGAGCCCAGAUCCCGUCCCACUCCGGCCCCUCCGCCCACCCACAGCAUCUGACCAGAGAAAUCCAAGGCUGGCUCGGGCAUUGCUCAAUCCC
ensembl:lncRNA